rnacentral:rRNA from 1 species
GACGAACGCUGGCGGCGUGCCUAACACAUGCAAGUCGAGCGGGGGGAGUACUUCGGUACAAACCUAGCGGCGGACGGGUGAGUAACACGUGGGUAACCUGCCUCAAAGUGGGGGAUAGCCUUCCGAAAGGAAGAUUAAUACCGCAUAACCCAUAGCUUCCGCAGGGAAGCAAUGGUAAAGAUUUAUCGCUUUGAGAUGGACCCGCGGCGCAUUAGCUAGUUGGUGAGGUAACGGCUCACCAAGGCCACGAUGCGUAGCCGACCUGAGAGGGUGAUCGGCCACAUUGGAACUGAGACACGGUCCAGACUCCUACGGGAGGCAGCAGUGGGGAAUAUUGCACAAUGGGCGAAAGCCUGAUGCAGCAACGCCGCGUGAGUGAUGAAGGCCUUCGGGUUGUAAAGCUCUGUCUUUUGGGACGAUAAUGACGGUACCAAAGGAGGAAGCCACGGCUAACUACGUGCCAGCCGCCGCGGUAAGAC